GAACGAUGAAAGAUGAUGAAAAAAAUGAAAGAUUAUGAAAGAACUGAAAAGAAGGAAGUUCUUCACGUGCAUCAAUGAGCUAUUUAAAGAAAUGGAGGGAAAUGCAAGCUGACUUUUGGAAAGUGUGGCCCAUCUGAGACAUAAGUAUCUACUCAAGCACCGCACAUAUGCAGUUGACUGUAACCCAGCAUGAGACUGAAUGUGUAUGUGAGAAAGAUGGAAGUAAAAUAAAGUAAAUGAAAGCCCUCUCCAAGGAUUUUGGACCACUCCAGAUUCUUCCAAAGAAACAAAGGUUUCUGUUUACAAAGUGAGA